rnacentral:rRNA from 1 species
UCGAACGAUACCAUUUAGCUUGCUCUUUGGGAAAGUGGCGCACGGGUGCGUAACGCGUAUGCAACCUACCUCAAUCAGGGGGAUAGCCCGAAGAAAUUCGGAUUAACACCGCAUAAAAUCACAGGAUAGCAUUAUCCGAUGAUCAAAUAUUUAUAGGAUUGAGAUGGGCAUGCGUGUCAUUAGUUAGUUGGCGGGGUAACGGCCCACCAAGACCACGAUGACUAGGGGAUCUGAGAGGAUGACCCCCCACACUGGUACUGAGACACGGACCAGACUCCUACGGGAGGCAGCAGUAAGGAAUAUUGGUCAAUGGAGGCAACUCUGAACCAGCCAUGCCGCGUGCAGGAAGACAGCCCUCUGGGUCGUAAACUGCUUUUAUUCGGGAAUAAACCUACUUACGUGUAAGUAGCUGAAUGUACCGAAGGAAUAAGGAUCGGCUAACUCCGUGCCAGCAGCCGCGGUAAUACGGAGGAUCCAAGCGUUAUCCGGAUUUAUUGGGUUUAAAGGGUGCGUAGGCGGCUUAUUAAGUCAGGGGUGAAAGACGGUGGCUCAACCAUCGCAGUGCCCUUGAUACUGAUGAGCUUGAAUACACUACAGGUAGGCGGAAUGUGACAAGUAGCGGUGAAAUGCAUAGAUAUGUCACAGAACACCGAUUGCGAAGGCAGCUUACUAUGGUGUCAUUGACGCUGAGGCACGAAAGCGUGGGGAUCAAACAGGAUUAGAUACCCUGGUAGUCCACGCCCUAAACGAUGAAUACUCGCUGUUAGCGAUACACAGUUAGCGGCUAAGCGAAAGCGUUAAGUAUUCCACCUGGGGAGUACGGUCGCAAGAUUGAAACUCAAAGGAAUUGACGGGGGCCCGCACAAGCGGAGGAGCAUGUGGUUUAAUUCGAUGAUACGCGAGGAACCUUACCCGGGCUUGAAAGUUAGUGAAUCAUUUAGAGAUAGAUGAGUGAGCAAUCACACGAAAAUAGGUGUUGCAUGGCUGUCGUCAGCUCGUGCCGUGAGGUGUUGGGUUAAGUCCCGCAACGAGCGCAACCCUUAUGUUUAGUUGCCAGCACGUUAAGGUGGGGACUCUAAACAGACUGCCUGUGCAAACAGAGAGGAAGGAGGGGACGACGUCAAGUCAUCAUGGCCCUUACGUCCGGGGCUACACACGUGCUACAAUGGAUGGUACAGAGGGCAGCAAGCUGGCAACAGCAAGCAAAUCUCAAAAAGCCAUUCACAGUUCGGAUAGAGGUCUGCAACUCGACCUCUUGAAGUUGGAUUCGCUAGUAAUCGCGUAUCAGCAAUGACGCGGUGAAUACGUUCCCGGGCCUUGUACACACCGCCCGUCAAGCCAUGGAAGUUGGGGGUACCUAAAGUAUGUAACCGCAAGGA